UACGGAGGGAGCUAGCGUUGUUCGGAAUUACUGGGCGUAAAGGGCUCGUAGGCGGCGUGUCGCGUCGGGAGUGAAAGCCCGUUGCUUAACGGCGGGUUGGCUUUCGGUACGGGCAUGCUGGAGUGCGGCAGGGGAGACUGGAAUUCCCGGUGUAGUGGUGGAAUGCGUAGAUAUCGGGAGGAACACCAGUGGCGAAGGCGGUUGCCUGGGGCUUUGGCUGACGGCUGAGGCGCGAAAAGCGUGGGGGAGCGAUCCGG
rnacentral:rRNA from 1 species